CACACAUCAGGGGUUUGGGAGGGGGAAGGAGCAGACUAUUAGCCGAGUACUUCUCCUCUGGUCAAAGGAAAGGGAAAGACAUGGUGAGACGACUUCUCAAGGUACGUAUAGGCUUGGAAUAGCUGUACCGUGAAUCCUGGAGGACUCAUGCACUUUGAUCUUUGCAGGAGUGAUGCAGAAACCAGAUACGCCUAAUCUGCAUUCCAGAAGUAGCCAAUCAAGCAUGGACUUAACACAACAAAGAGAAGGUACAACGAGGAGAAUCAGAAACCCCAUCUCUUAAUCG
rnacentral:lncRNA from 1 species